UAGUUAGUUGGUGGGUAAAGGCCUCCCAAGACAAUGAUGCAUAGCCGAGUUGAGAGACUGAUCGGCCACAUUGGGACUGAGACACGGCCCAAACUCCUACGGGAGGCUGCAGUAGGGAAUCUUCCACAAUGGGCGAAAGCCUGAUGGAGCAACGCCGCGUGUGUGAUGAAGGCUUUCGGGUCGUAAAGCACUGUUGUAUGGGAAGAAAAGUUAAGGUAGGGAAUGACCUUAGCCUGACGGUACCAUACCAGAAAGGGACGGCUAAAUACGUGCCAGCAGCCGCGGUAAUACGUAUGUCCCGAGCGUUAUCCGGAUUUAUUGGGCGUAAAGCGAGCGCAGACGGUUGGUUAAGUCUGAUGUGAAAGCCCGGAGCUCAACUCCGGAAAGGCAUUGGAAACUGGUUAACUUGAGUGCAGUAGAGGUAAGUGGAACUCCAUGUGUAGCGGUGGAAUGCGUAGAUAUAUGGAAGAACACCAGCGGCGAAGGCGGCUUACUGGACUGUAACUGACGUUGAGGCUCGAAAGUGUGGGUAGCAAACAGGAUUAGAUACCCUGGUAGUCCACACCGUAAACGAUGAACACUAGGUGUUAGGAGGUUUCCGCCUCUUAGUGCCGAAGCUAACGCAUUAAGUGUUCCGCCUGGGGAGUACGACCGCAAGGUUGAAACUCAAAGGAAUUGACGGGGACCCGCACAAGCGGUGGAGCAUGUGGUUUAAUUCGAAGCAACGCGAAGAACCUUACCAGGUCUUGACAUCCUUUGAAGCUUUUAGAAAUAGAAGUGUUCUCUUCGGAGACAAAGUGACAGGUGGUGCAUGGUCGUCGUCAGCUCGUGUCGUGAGAUGUUGGGUUAAGUCCCGCAACGAGCGCAACCCUUAUUGUUAGUUGCCAGCAUUCAGAUGGGCACUCUAGCGAGACUGCCGGUGACAAACCGGAGGAAGGCGGGGACGACGUCAGAUCAUCAUGCCCCUUAUGACCUGGGCUACACACGUGCUACAAUGGCGUAUACAACGAGUUGCCAACCUGCGAAGGUGAGCUAAUCUCUUAAAGUACGUCUCAGUUCGGACUGCAGUCUGCAACUCGACUGCACGAAGUCGGAAUCGCUAGUAAUCGCGGAUCAGCACGCCGCGGUGAAUACGUUCCCGGGUCUUGUACACACCGCCCGUCACACCAUGGAAGUUUGUAAUGCCCAAAGCCGGUGGCCUAACCGUAAGGAGGAACC
rnacentral:rRNA from 1 species